CAUCUACUUUCCUCUUCUUUUUCUUUGAUAUGAAACCUUACCAUCACACAAUCACUUUUUCCUACAGGAUGAUUGUAGUUCAUGUGUUCAACAAUGUCCACUUCUCUUAAUAAUACCAAAUUUAGUCUUUGUAGUACCUCUCCUCUUCUGUGUGUAGUGUUUUCCUUGGGCUGGCUGGCUUUCUAUCUUUCUGGUUGGCUGGCUGGCUAACUAACUGACUGGUUGGAUGCCUGGCUAACUGGCUGACCGGCUGGCUGGUUGGUUUUCCUGCUGACUAGCUGACUGGCUGGCUAUCUGGCUGACUAGUCCACUGUGGGAUAGCUGGCUGGUUGGCUGGUUGACUCCUCAAGGGCAGCUGUCCCAUCUCUCAAGUGGCCACAUUUUGCAGGCGUCCCCAACCCCUCCCGCCCUGAGUGAAGACACCCCCAGACAAAACCUCUAAGGGGGCCAAGGGGAAGGGAGCAGCCCAGGCCCUUUCCAAUGCUGAGAGAGGUGCAGCCAGCAAGGAGGCAAGCGGCUCAUCUGUCGGUGUGCGCCUACCAUACCCACAGCCACACCAACGGAGGGCCAACGACACCCAAGUCUAGCCGCAGGAACUAAUGUAGUGUGGUGACAAGUAGUGAGGUCACCACUGAAUCUGACACACCUGCUGAGCCUGACCUGGUGUCUUUCUGUGCUACCCUGGGCAACAACCGAGCCCUGCGAGUCCCUACCCUCUUCAAGCCAGACGGGGACUACCAGACUGUGGCUGACAUGGUGGGUGGCAGUCACUCCAUUACAGAGUCAACUACCAGUCACGAGGAAAGUUUGGACGAGGCCAGAAGUGCGUCAUCCCACCGCAGGUCACGGGGACAGGAACUGCAGGCCAGGCAGGGUCACCGUCCCUCCCACGGCAACCCGGAUUAUAGCUAUGCUCACCCUGUGAAGAAGCAGUACCUUCCCCCACCCCUCCACUGUCCUCCACUGACAGCAACAGGUGUAUGAGUUAGUGAUAGUGAGGUCACUGACAGACAGACUCGCCAAAUUGUUCAUUAGUAAAAGUUCCAUGGCCACUAAGUUUGUAAUCUGCUUCUGUGUUUGUAUCUUUCCAGCCUUUUUAUUCAUUGAUGUACACUUUUGCCUUUCACUGCUUCCUCCUGUAAUCCAUUCUAUAUCUUUAUAUAUUUACAUGGAAAGAUAUGUUUGCAUUAUUCUCUCUCUCUCUCUCUCUCUCUCUCUCUCUCUCUCUCUCUCUCUCUCUCUCUCUCUCUCUCUCUCUCUCUCUCUCUCUCUCUCUCUCUCUCUCUCUCUCUCUCUCUCUCUCUCUCUCUCUCUCUCUCUAAUAUUGAGAUUCAUCUCUUGUCCAUAACAAAAGGGCAUUUCUGUCUGGUUCCUCAGGUUGGUUGACUAACCCUAAAGCUGCAGGGGUUUUCACACAUUUCUCCAUUCCAUAUGUCUCUACUCCUUUGUGGAAAGAUGUAUGUUAUUUAGGCAGCUCUCUUCUGUCCAAGUUUCUUUUCAUCUUUAUCAUCAUGUGUCAAGUCAUCCAGUUCUGGCACUAUCUUAGUGGCUGUUCUUUGUAUUCUUUCAAAUCUCUACAUGAAACAUCACCGAAUUAAUUAAGCUUAGCAGAAAUUAUGUGAUGUGCCCUACUGAUGCUGGUGUGAAGGCGAGGUGUUUGUAGUGAGCCGUGUGAUGCCUUCCCCAGUGCUGAAUAUGGAGAGAGCAGCCAGGCGACAACAUACACUGAAGUUUUCUGAAGAGGAGUACGACCACCCCUCCAUCAAGCAAGCAGGAGUGGAGCCUCUGGAGCAGCUGAUGGCUGACCUGGAGCUGGAGAAGAUGGUUCAGGAUGCCAGCAAGACAGCUCUUUGACACUUCCAGUAGUGGUAGAAGCCUCCCAUCACCACCCUCACUCCUCUGCCACUGCUGACCAAAACACUGAGGCUGUAUUCUUCAGGACCUGAUUGUUGCUUGGACUUGAGGCUUCCCUGCUUGGGACUGGCAGUUCUGCAAAUGCUGUUAGUGACAGCAUCCGUAGGACAACAGUGUAGGUGGUGUCCUCUGGAGGUCCUUCACCUGCAUGGAGCUAAGUCCACCUGUUGUAAUACUUGAAUGCGUAAGUGCUCAUCUUGAAGAUUUUAAUCACUGCAGUGGUCACCAUCUCAGACCUGACUGCCACAGGUACUUACUGUACACACUGCUAUCUAUAAUCCAGUGCUUAGCAGGUUCUUGGUUAUGGUUAUCAACUAUCUGGAUAAAUUUUACACAGCACCAACCUUAAAUUACAACAUGUACACAAUAGCAAACUUUGGAGUUGUUUUAAGCAUUGCUACCAUCAGUCCAACCUAGCUAACCAACCUAACAACCUACCCUAACCUAACUCUUCCUCAACAAUGUAGAACAUAUAUUUAACCUCAACAGUGUAGAACAUGUUUAAAAUAAUUUUUUUUUCUAGAAGUUUGGGUCCCAAAGGGUGAGCAGAAAGAAACAAUUUUUAUCUCCCAUUAUGCAACAAAGUCAUUUAGGGAAUUUGGUCAUAUUACUUAAAGCAGUGUCCAAAACAUUAGUUAACGAAAUUCCAUAUGCAGUUUACAGUUUGGUCAAGAUAAAAUAAUAAGCAAAUAUGCUGCUAGUGGGCAAAUUUUUACUCUCACCAGUUUUCUAAUGUGGAUGAAACUAUUUAUUUCUCGUAUUUUUUUGCCUGUUUUGAAUCAAUAUGGUUCUUGUUUUUAUGGAAAUCAUGAGCCAUUACUUUUUACUCCCUGACCCACCAUCCCCUCAGAAACUAAUUAUUUGCAGUAAACAAAAGCAGUUAAUACAAAACAGACCGAUAUGUACAAGAAAAAGGUAGAUUGGCCCUCACAAAUAAGCAGCCACUCACUGUGGCCACCAGCCAGCUGUCACACACCACCACCUAAUCCAACCAAGUUAACCAAACUAACCUAUGUAAUCUAACAGAACGAAAUAACAUAACCUAACCAAACAAACCUAAACUAACUUGCCUCCCAAAAAUAGAUGUUUAAAAAUUGCCAUCAGCAUUAUAAAUAAUUUGCAGUGGGUAAAUAUGGGUUUAAAUUACUCAAUGACAAUCUCUAUCUGAUGAGAAAAGUAAGAAAAGCCAUGUUGAGACUGGUGAAAGAGUGAAAGAAUUCCCUACUGUGUGGCCUGGAACCAUAAGCCAUAACUUCACUCACUGGCAGGAGCACUCACACCUGUUUGGUUAUAUCACAGCAAUUCCAUCCCUAUAGCUCUCUAGGCCCCUGAUGUGUCAACCACACCAUGCUAGGUUCGCAACUAUGCUAACAAGAGUGUGAUAGGCAAAGCUGAUGAACUCACUAGUGCCUGUAGCAUGAUGAUGUUCUGCAGCAGCCUUGCUCUUCACGUGGCUCCGUAGGUCCUUAAACUUCCUCAGAGCUACCCACUCGGCUGACUGCGUUCACACGUGCAGCCACCUCCUCCCAAGUCUUGUUCUUUUCUGUGGUGAUUCUAUUGUCCAGCCUUUCCAGAAUCACUGCAGCCUGAUUUUACACCUCCUCCACCAAGGCUAAGGUCUCGGUGUCAGUGAACCAAGGUCUUAUUUUCUUAGGAGGUUUGCUGGCCAUGACUGGAAUACUAUGAUUGGUGGCUGUGGGCACAUAACAGUUUGUAAACAAUGUCUUAUGGCAUUCUUGGUGAUAACACAAAACCUUCCUGUGAUUGGCUGCCUUGCGUGUUACGUUGAAUCAGUGACAUAUCGCCUCCGGCAGCCAAUGAGCACUCUUAGAUGCAUCCUGAUGCUUCCUCCUCUGGGCAGCAAUGACUGCUGCCACUGCUGCUGCUUGAUCAAGGAGUGAGGAUCCACACUUCCAGAUUCUAACAAUGCAACACCAGACAUCCCUGUAAAGGAUUGACAUUGAUGAUUGACAAAUUUAAAACCCUUUGAGGGAAUGAAAUGCAAUAAAACUCAAGUGAAGACA